CGCCACGCAUUGAAGGUGUUGGACCAUAACAAUAUCAAGGAGUUACCAUCAGAGUACAUCUUGAAGAGAUGGACAAAAUAUGCAAAGAUAGGAUCAUCACAGGCUAAUCGAAAAUGUGCUAAUGAUGAAGAUGCUAGAGUUGUUCUAGCUAGGAGGUAUGGAUCAUUAUGUCGGUCUUACAACAAUAUAUUAAGCAAAGCUGCAGAAAAUGAGGAAGCUUAUGCACUACUAGAAAGAACUUCAUUGGAAUUGAUGGAACAAGUUGACCAAAUCAUGCAAGCAAACAAGUCAGAAGGUACAUCAACUAGCCAUAAAUCAGCAGAGAAACGACCAAUUGGAUGCAACAGUGAAAAUGUAACCCUUGUACAGGGAAUAAAGAGAAAGGAACAAAAAGGAAACAGUAACAAAAGGAUUAAAUCAGGACUUCAAUCGAACAAGAAAAAGCAGCCAAAGAAAGGUAAAUCUAAAGUGGACAGGAAUGCUGGUGGAACUUCUACAACAUCUGAAGUAAUUCCUAAUUUCACCGUAUCGAAUGAGAAUGAUCAGAUGCCAAGUGAGGUCCCCAAUGACCCAUCAGAAAAUCUGCAAGACAAGCAUUUCUAGAUCUGUAGAAACUAGAAUAACCUUUUGAUAUUUUCUAUCUUAGUUGUCCUCCUUUAUUAAAAAUAUAUGCAACAUAUGGAUUGGUUCUUGAAAUUUUCUUUUAUUUAUAUAGAGCAAACACUCAGGCACAAAAUUGGGCUUUUUUUACAUCUCGAUCUGCAGUUCAAUGUCAUUAAUAUUUCCAUUUGCAAUCUAAACAAUAUAUCUAUGCUUAUGGUGUGUAUACAUUAUAGUA